GACAACGCUGGCGGCGUGCUUAACACAUGCAAGUCGAGCGGAGAUAUAUGGAAGGUUUACCUGAAAUAUAUCUUAGCGGCGGACGGGUGAGUAACGCGUGGGUAACCUGCCUUGUACAGGGGGAUAACACAGGGAAACUUGUGCUAAUACCGCAUAACACAGUUGGUUGGCAUCAAUUGACUGUCAAAGGAGCAAUCCGGUAUAAGAUGGACCCGCGUCCGAUUAGCUAGUUGGCGGUGUAACGGACCACCAAGGCGACGAUCGGUAGCCGAACUGAGAGGUUGAUCGGCCACAUUGGGACUGAGACACGGCCCAGACUCCUACGGGAGGCAGCAGUGGGGAAUAUUGCGCAAUGGGGGAAACCCUGACGCAGCAACGCCGCGUGAAGGAAGAAGGUUUUCGGAUCGUAAACUUCUUUGAUGAGGGAAGAACAAUGACGGUACCUCAAAAACAAGCCACGGCUAACUACGUG
rnacentral:rRNA from 1 species